rnacentral:rRNA from 1 species
GUGGGGAAUUUUGGACAAUGGGGGCAACCCUGAUCCAGCAAUGCCGCGUGCAGGAAGAAGGCCUUCGGGUUGUAAACUGCUUUUGUACGGAACGAAACGGUCUGGGUUAAUACCCUGGGCUAAUGACGGUACCGUAAGAAUAAGCACCGGCUAACUACGUGCCAGCAGCCGCGGUAAUACGUAGGGUGCGAGCGUUAAUCGGAAUUACUGGGCGUAAAGCGUGCGCAGGCGGUUUUGUAAGACAGGCGUGAAAUCCCCGGGCUCAACCUGGGAAUGGCGCUUGUGACUGCAAAGCUGGAGUGCGGCAGAGGGGGAUGGAAUUCCGCGUGUAGCAGUGAAAUGCGUAGAUAUGCGGAGGAACACCGAUGGCGAAGGCAAUCCCCUGGGCCUGCACUGACGCUCAUGCACGAAAGCGUGGGGAGCAAACAGGAUUAGAUACCCCGGUAGUCC